GCCCGCGAUGGCGGCGCCGGAGCCGCCGCCGCCGGAGGGCUCCCGGCCCCUCAGCGCCCUCCUGGGCGGCAUCGCCCAGGCCGCCUUCCACGGCAACGCCGCUGUCACCGACGAGCUGCUGCGCGGGCAGCUCUACCCCGAGGCGCCGCCGGAGGAGUUCCGCGCCCUGCGCGCCAAGAUGGGCGGCCUCCUCCAGUCGAUUGCUUCAGCGGACAUGGAUUUGAAUCAGCUGGAAGCUUUCCUCGCCGCCCAAACCAAAAAACAAGGUGGCAUCACGUCAGAUCAAGCCGCAGUCAUUGCAAAAUUUUGGAAGAACCACCGAACUAGUAUCCAUGAGAGCCUGAUCAAUCAGAGCCGCUGGGAUAAUGUCUUGAAAAACAUGAACUGGCGAGUGGAUCUGAAGUCACAGUUGAGACACAUCGAUCAGAUAAACACUCCUGUUGCCAUAGUUGAAAUGGAAGUGGGAAAAAAUGGGCAGAGUGCUGCCCUGUUGUGUGACCUAUGAAAGCAUCAAAUGAAAGGCAGCAAAAAACACCUGAAAAAAUUGUGGACCAACUUGGAAUCGGAGUUUCUCUGUCUGGAGUUCGAUGAGGCCAAGGUGAGCCAGAUGCUGAAGAAACUCUCAGAAAUAGAGGAGAGUAUGACUUUGUU